UCAAAAAGAUAAAUUUCAAAUCAAAAAUAAAAUUUGAAAGAAAUAUCAUAUAUCUUUCAAACUAGAACAGUAAGCCGAUGAACACUUAAAUCCAUUGCACGCUGAGCAUGCGUAUUUAAACUGCUCGGUUUUGCACGCUGGGCAUGCGCAUUUAACCUUCUCGGUUUGGCACGCUGGGCAUGCGCAGGGGAACAUUUAUUUGCGCGGCAGCGCACGCUGCACGCUGAGCAUGCGCAAUAACUAUUUCUCGUUUAUGCACGCGUUUCUAACCGUGCAACACGUUUCACGUUUCGCCUUCAACACGCGAGUUGCUCGCGUUAUCACGCAAACUCGGGGAACAAACUCGCAGGCGCCACUGUACACCUGUGAGUGUAGAGCAGGAUUUUACAAAACAGAUCAAGGAGACUGCAGAGAUACCGAUGAAUGUCCAGACCCGCUGCUGCAUAAUUGUACGCAAGAAUGCAUCAAUGCAAUUGGAGGUUAUUCCUGUGGGUGCAGAGAAGGAUACACGAAAAAAGACAAAUGGUCUUGUGAGGAUAUAGACGAAUGCGAGUUAGGUACAUCUAGCUGUGAACAGAAAUGUGUGAAUAACCAAGGCCAGUACAGUUGUUUUUGUCAUUUUGGAUACAGUAUUAACGAUGACCGAAGAAACAUGUAGAAAAC